GGGCCCGCACAAGCAGUGGAGUAUGUGGUUUAAUUCGAAGCAACGCGAAGAACCUUACCAGGGCUUGACAUAAUACUGAAUAUGAUAGAGAUAUCAUAGACCUUCGGGACAGUAUUACAGGUGGUGCAUGGUUGUCGUCAGCUCGUGUCGUGAGAUGUUGGGUUAAGUCCCGCAACGAGCGCAACCCCUGUUGCUAGUUGGUAACAUUAAGUUGACCACUCUAGCGAGACUGCCGGUGACAAAUCGGAGGAAGGUGGGGACGACGUCAAAUCAUCAUGCCCCUUAUGUCCUGGGCUACACACGUACUACAAUGGCUAUAACAGAGGGAUGCCAAGCCGCAAGGCGGAGCGAAUCCCCAAAAAUAGUCUCAGUUCAGAUUGUGGGCUGCAACCCGCCCACAUGAAGUCGGAAUUGCUAGUAAUGGCAGGUCAGCAUACUGCCGUGAAUACGUUCCCGGGCCUU
rnacentral:rRNA from 1 species